CAUGCAAGUCGAACGGAAAGGCCCUUCGGGGUACUCGAGUGGCGAACGGGUGAGUAACACGUGGGUGAUCUGCCCUGCACUUUGGGAUAAGCCUGGGAAACUGGGUCUAAUACCGAAUACACCCUUCUGGCUGCAUGGUCUGGGAGGGGAAAGCUUUUGCGGUGUGGGAUGGGCCCGCGGCCUAUCAGCUUGUUGGUGAGGUUACGGCUCACCAAGGCGACGACGGGUAGCCGGCCUGAGAGGGUGACCGGCCACACUGGGACUGAGAUACGGCCCAGACUCCUACGGGAGGCAGCAGUGGGGAAUAUUGCACAAUGGGCGCAAGCCUGAUGCAGCGACGCCGCGUGAGGGAUGACGGCCUUCGGGUUGUAAACCUCUUUCGCCAGGGACGAAGCGCAAGUGACGGUACCUGGAGAAGAAGGACCGGCCAACUACGUGCCAGCAGCCGCGGUAAUACGUAGGGUCCGAGCGUUGUCCGGAAUUACUGGGCGUAAAGAGCUCGUAGGUGGUUUGUCGCGUUGUUCGUGAAAACUCACA
rnacentral:rRNA from 1 species